AGAAAAGAACCUCAUAUUCGCCAACAGAACCAAUCCUCUGCACCCGCUUCGACAGUAACACACCUUUAACCCAAAACCACUUGCACACAUCGUCGUUCCUCUUAAAAUCACCGACGCGGAACACGAAAGGCCCCUGCAACCCACCACACCACAUAAAUACUGCGUUGCUUUAACUUUCCUCGUGAACCCACCCUCUUAAUACGUCACCGUUUCGUUCGAGCCGGAUCCCAAAAACGACGUCGCCGACCUUGGACCUGAGAAAAAAAAGUGAAGAACACUUGCUUGUUUGAAAUUGCAAAGAGCGAAAACGAAGUGAAAAGAGAAGAGAGAGAGAGAGAGAGAGAGAGAGAGAAUGGUGGUGAAGAAAUGCGCGAUUCUUUGUUGCGAAUCUUUCUUCUUCUGAUAGUGAAAGUUUGUUGGGGUUCAAUUCGUUAGAGAAAGUGGUGAAAGAGAAGAGAGAAGAAAAUCGGAAGUUUGAAGAUGCAAACGGAGGCUAGGGUUGGUGUGGCCGUGGAUGGUGGUGUACGGAAACUGGUGCAGCCGCCGCCGCAGCAGAUUGGCACUAUUUCGCAGCUUCUCGCUGGAGGAGUUGCUGGCGCUUUAAGCAAAACCUGUACGGCGCCGCUUGCGAGACUCACCAUACUCUUUCAGGUUCAGGGAAUGCAUUCCAAUGUUGCAACUUUGAGAAAAGCCAGUAUAUGGAAUGAGGCUUCACGAAUUAUUCAUGAAGAGGGAUUUAGAGCUUUCUGGAAAGGGAAUUUGGUCACCAUUGCUCACCGCUUGCCUUAUUCCUCUGUUAACUUUUAUUCAUAUGAGCACUACAAGAAGUUGCUAAAGAUGGUUCCUGGACUGCAAAGUCAUAGGGGGGAUAAUGUCAGUGCAGACCUUUGCGUACAUUUUGUUGGUGGUGGCAUGGCGGGAAUAACUGCUGCUACAUCUACUUAUCCCUUGGAUCUUGUAAGAACACGGCUUGCUGCACAGACAAAUUUUACCUACUAUAGAGGUAUCUGGCAUGCUUUACACACGAUUAGCAAGGAAGAGGGAAUAUUUGGCCUGUAUAAGGGACUUGGAACUACACUUUUGACUGUAGGGCCCAGUAUAGCUAUCAGCUUCUCUGUGUAUGAAACCCUGAGAUCUUUUUGGCAGACAAAUAGAUCCGAUGAUUCAACUGUCGUUGUUAGUCUGGCCUGCGGCAGUCUUUCAGGCAUUGCAUCAUCAACAGAGAAAGAGAGUUUGGUGCAAGAACUGCACCAAGUUUCUAACCAGACUGACCCCUAGAACCAGAGACCAGGUUGGAGGUGUUAUUUUAUCUGGCAUAUGAGAAUUUAGUAAGGAAGACAACAAAAAGACCCUUUUCUUGUCUUUCUGUAACUUUAUUUUUGUCUAAAGAUCUUGAUCAAAUAAUCAUUUUCCCUAGUCUUAUUCUAUGGCAUGUCUCCCCAAGUUAUGCAGUGGAUUCCAUCAUGGGGUGGCAUUACUUCGAUGAACCUAUAUCAUUCCCUCAGUUACCAAAUGUGAGAGCUGUCCUCUUUGAGCAACGUUUCCCUUGGAUCUUGUGAGGCGGCGGAAGCAACUUGAGGGCGCUGGUGGGCGAGCCCGUGUUUAUACUACAGGCCUCUAUGGUAUGUUUGGGCACAUAAUCCGGACAGAAGGUGUACGUGGCCUAUACAGAGGAAUUUUGCCUGAAUAUUACAAGGUGGUGCCAGGUGUUGGUAUUUGUUUUAUGACUUAUGAGACGUUGAAGAUGCUUUUAGCAGAUAUUGCUACCGCAUAAUUACACCCAUCAACUUUGGAGUCUGAAAUACAAGAAGUAGAUGGAUAUGAAGUUAUUUAUUUACCCAUGCAAAAGGGUUAGAGUUAUAGUUUCGAUUUACCAAUUGAAGUUCAAUUUGUUCUCACGGUAGGCAAUUUUGUAAUGUUGCCGUGGGGAUUGCAUUUUUGCAUGUACAGAGACUUGCAUGACAUUUAAUAUUAGGCUAUUAUCGAUCUUGUAUUCUCAUGUGCUCUCUCUCUCUCUCUCUCUAAGAAAUUAGGGAAGUGAAGUGAGCUAUUGAUUUGCAACUGGUUGUUGUUGGCCUGAAUUAUUUUUAUCGUAUACAUUAAAAGUAAUACUUUCAAAAU